GACGAACGCUGGCGGCGUGCUUAACACAUGCAAGUCGAACGGAAAGGCCCUGCUUUUGUGGGGUGCUCGUGUGGCGAACGGGUGAGUAACACGUGAGUAACCUGCCCUUGACUUUGGGAUAACUUCAGGAAACUGGGGCUCAUACCGGAUAGGAGCUCCUGCUGCAUGGUGGGGGUUGGAAAGUUUCGGCGGUUGGGGAUGGACUCGCGGCUUAGCAGCUUGUUGGUGGGGUAGUGGCUUACCAAGGCUUGGACGGGUAGCCGGCCUGAGAGGGUGACCGGCCACAAUGGGACUGAGGUGGGACCAAGACGGCUACGGGAGGCAGCAGUGGGGAAUAGUGCGCGAUGGGCGGAAGGCGGAUGGAGCAACGCCGCGUGCGGGAUGACGGCCUUCGGGUUGUAAACCGCUUUCGCCUGUGACGAAGCGUGAGUGACGGUAAUGGGUAAAGAAGCACCGGCUAACUACGUG
rnacentral:rRNA from 1 species